ensembl:lncRNA
AAUGUGACUGUUUAAUGUUUGAGACAGAUCUCAUGCUUAAGUCCAGAAACUGAAGUAUAACUGUUGUUUGUUUUUAUUUUAGCAGGGAAAAGGCAAUAAUCCCAACUGGCAGUCCAAAAAUAACCAGAUUGGAGGGUGGAAGGAAAAAGAAGGAAAAGGGAGGACUAAAAUGGAGAGAACAGUCAAGCAUCAAGUAUUGGAACUGACAUCUGAAUUAAAGAGUGUGCAAAAAAUCUCUUCCCUCUUUAACUAUUGAAACAACUAAAAUGGAAAACUGACUAAAAGAGGCCUUUCUCUGAAUUCUGCCUGUCGCACAGCCAUACGUAUUAGAUGACUUUG